GACGAACGCUGGCGGCGUGCUUAACACAUGCAAGUCGAACGAAGAGCGACGGAAGCUUGCUUCUAUCAAUCUUAGUGGCGAACGGGUGAGUAACGCGUAAUCAACCUGCCCUUCAGAGGGGGACAACAGUUGGAAACGACUGCUAAUACCGCAUACGAUCUAACCUCGGCAUCGAGGAUAGAUGAAAGGUGGCCUCUACAUGUAAGCUAUCACUGAAGGAGGGGAUUGCGUCUGAUUAGCUAGUUGGAGGGGUAACGGCCCACCAAGGCGAUGAUCAGUAGCCGGUCUGCGAGGAUGAACGGCCACAUUGGGACUGAGACACGGCCCAGACUCCUACGGGAGGCAGCAGUGGGGAAUCUUCCGCAAUGGACGAAAGUCUGACGGAGCAAAGCCGCGUGAGUGAUGACGGCCUUCGGGUUGUAAAGCUCUGUUAAUCGGGACGAAAGGCCUUCUUGCGAAUAGUGAGAAGGAUUGACGGUACCGGAAUAGAAAGCCACGGCUAACUACGUG
rnacentral:rRNA from 1 species